GUGCUCGCUUCUGCAGCACAUAUACUAAAAUUGGAACAAUACGGAGAAGAUUAGCAUGGUCAUCAUCCCUGAACAAGGAUGACAUGAAAAUUCAUGAAGUGUUCCAUAUUUUU
rnacentral:snRNA from 1 species